CUAACACCCUGAGUGAGUGGAGGAACCUGGAUUCAAAUCCAGGCUGUCCAGCCCCAGGGUCCGUUCUCCUAACCACCACACUCCUCUGCUUCUCCAGAUCGCUGCCUUUCUGAUUCUUUGAGCAUCUAGAACAGGGCACUGCAUGUAGCAGCUGCUCUUAAACACGCCUUUGGAAAAAAAUUUUUUCUGAUUUUAAUAUUCUGUGAUCACUUAGAAUUUUUAAACUAAUAUAACCACUUGGGUUUGUUUGUCUUUCAAAAUUUUUUCCUUUUUUAUGUUUUAAUUGUCUUAUCACCCAUAGUCUGACUUCUAUUUGAAUGCAUGCUCAACUCCAUAGCUGAAUAUGACAUUUUUUGGAAGGCAACAUUCUUAGGAUUAAAUAUGUACGUGUGUCUUCUCAGAUGUCUCCAAUAUUACCAAGGGAACUAUAGUUGACUCUCCAUUCUCAGAGACAAAAUCAGUUUGAUUCCUGGAAAGUUAACUUCAGUGAGGCAAAUUAUCUUAUAGUUGCUACUUUCUACUAUCAGUCUACCAUUGAUGGCUUAUCACACUGAAGAAGUUUUGCAUAUGCGAUCUCCUGGAGUGCCCACAACUAGCCUGUAAGCAUUCUGAUAAAAUUGUCCAAUGUAUUUCUUUUGUAGCAUUUUGUGUUACCUAUUCUUUUUCAACUAUUAUCAUGUCCAAUUUCAAUAAGAGGAAACUCAGGCUCAUGCGCCACACUCAGUGGCAGACAGGGGAUUCGAACUUGUAUCUGUCUGGCUACAAAACUUAUAAAAGUUUCGGUGAAACUCAGUACCGUACAGCACAAAGGAGAUGCUCCUUUAAAAUACACAGGCUGUACACGGACUUUAUGAAACAUUUUAGCCUGGAAAUAUGAGAGACUCUCUUUAAAUUCUUAAGAAUGACCUCUUGUGACCACAAAGAGCAGAGGAAAGAAUCUGAAGAAUAAGUUUAUUUUAGUGAGCAAAACAUUAAUAAACAUAUUUUAAAUGUACUUGCAAAGUACAUUUAAUGAGGGAAUUCCUAUCCCCCUCUUGCAUUUUGGCUUUCCCUCCAUUUUGGGUUUCCGUAUAGCACUGUAUUGAGGGGACUGCAACUUUAAAAAGUACUUUUUAAAAAGCCCACAGUUAGCUUGUGAACUCAUUUUUAUUCUGGCCCUGGCCUCAGGAGCCAAGUUUGACUAGGAUCUGUAUCAAAAUAAAAUCCAGAGAGGCAUUCCUAAACUUGGACCUUUUGUCCAGGCUCACUUCCUGUUGACCGAGUGACAGCCCUUUCAGCUGGCCUCUGGUCAAGCCGUUUGCACAGAAUAAGGAGCGGCUGAUUAAAAGUAGCAUGAGAUGCAACCAAAAUGCCAAUUCUCUUUCCGUUUGGGGUUUGCUCGAGUCCAAAGGUCAAAAGGAAGACAGAGCAGCUCAGUGUAUUGGUUUGUAAUUCCACUCCCACUAUGGCUCAGUGAUACAACAUAUUCCGAUCCUUGUCUCAUCGUGGAGUUCUUCAAUCUUCAAUCUUUGUCCCCUAAACACUGGCUUGUGUGAACAUGCUAUUAGCUGGCAGGGUCCAAUUUCAGUAUCAGCGGUUACAUUUGGUUUCCAGCUCCUCACAGUUGUCUGUGCUGGGUAUGAAUCUGGAACUGCUGCCAAUUUUCUUGGAGGGCAUUUUAGUAUCAUUAUCCCAGUGCUUAUGCUAUUAUCUCUGAAGUGUUGUUUUCCACCUAUUUUCUGCCUCUAAAAAGACAGGGUGAAACGUUUAGCUAUUUUAUCAAUGAAAUCUGAGUGAGCUGUGUAGCUAACUCUUGACUUACGAUUCUCUUUCUUUUGCUCCCUGGCUGAGGAAAUGCUCAGUAUUGACGGCGAGGAGGCACCUUAAGGAUCACCUGGUCCCUUGCUACUGCAGUUGUGUUGCACAAAGCAGCAGCAAGGGCAUCACCAGGGAGCUUAUUAGAAAUACUCCAUCUGAGGCCCUCCCAGACCUGUUGGUCAGAAUCUGCACUUCAGCAGAACCCCAGCAGUUCAUGGGCAAGUUCAAGUGUGAAAAGCAGUGAGCUGCCCAGGUGUGCAACUACAAUUGCAGUUCUGAGAGGAGUUUUCCAGAUUUUUUUUGAAUACUUAAUAAUAAUAGGAAUGUCACUUUGCAAAACGUGGAUAGCUGAACUCUGCCUCCUUAUAAUUCCCACACUUAGGACUGUAUUCUCUUUAGCAAACAACACAGGUCUAAUGUGGCCUUUCUAAUAUUUGAAGAUAGCUAACAUGUUCCCACACCCAUUCCAUCCAUCCCUCCCUUCCUCUCUCCCUCUCCCUGUCUCUCUCUUGCGCUUUCUGUCUGCCAUCCCCUCUCUUUCGUACUCUCCCAUCUCUCCUCCCUUUAUCUCUUUUCAUGCUAAGUAUUUUUUUCUGCCAUCCUUACCUUGCCUGGUUUCCAAUUUUUUUAACAAUAAUGAUUACUAUUUUAUUAAUGAACUCUAGUUGUCAGGUUGCUCUCAGCAUGGGAUGUCUAAAAUGUUAUAUAAUAUCUCAUUAGGUGUUUUAAUAGGCAUAUUUUGUCAUAUGUGUUUGUAGAGAAGUACAGGGGAUUUUUUAGAAUGAUAGAACAAAAACAGAGCUGCAUCUGCUGACUGAAGAAUUUAAAGGCAUCUUCCUGGAAGCCACCUGGUCACCAUGCACAGGAGGACCCAGUGAGUGACAUCAUUAUUUCACAUGCUCAGCGAUAGGUUGAGU